UCGAUAUAUACGAUAGGGAGCGCUCUUUGUGAAAAGUUGUGUUGAAGAGGGCCUCAAAUCGAAACCCUAACCCUUAUCGCUCUAGAUCGUCUGUUCAGUGACAGAAAUGUCUCACUUUGGGAGAUCUGGUCCUCCAGAUAUCAAAGAUACCUACUCUCUUCUUGUUCUCAAUAUCACUUUCAGAACCACUGCAGAUGAUCUCUUCCCGUUAUUCGAUAAGUAUGGGAAGGUCGUUGAUAUCUUUAUACCGAGAGACAGAAGAACUGGGGAUUCACGUGGAUUCGCUUUUGUUCGAUAUAAAUAUGCCGAGGAGGCACAGAAGGCAGUGGAAAAGCUCGACGGAAGGAAUGUUGAUGGUAGAGAGAUUAUGGUUCAAUUUGCCAAGUAUGGGCCAAAUGCUGAGCCAAUCCGCAAAGGAAGGAUAGUGGAAGUAUUUCCUAAGUCGAGAGGCAGGUCAAGAAGCCGAAGCCCCCGCCCAAGGUACCGGGAUGAUUACAGGGAUAGGGAUGUCAGGAAGAGAAGUCGCAGUAGAAGCAGGGGUAGAAGUGAUCGCGACAAGUAUCAUCACAGGGAGAGGGAUUAUCGCCGUAGAAGCAGGAGCCGCAGUCUAAGUCCUGAUUACAACAGAGGUCGUGGCAGAAGCCGGAAAGAUGAUGAGGGACGGAGAAGCCGCAGCCGGUCUUAUGGAAGUGUUUCCCCUGCUCGACGUAGUCCUAGUCCUAAGCGUAGUCCAUCUCCGAGGAAGACACCUCCAUCUAGGGAUGGAAGUCCUGAUCGACGCAGUCAAGAUGAACGCUCUCCAUCUCCUAGGAGUGUUUCCCCCCGAGGUCGACCUGCUGCUUCUUUGAGUCCAUCUCCACGUAAUUCAGAUGCUGAUGAAUGAUGGAGUAGAAUGGCUUGCUAUGGUUCUAAAUGUUGGUGAAUGUACCAUCUGUAGCUGUCUUGCUACUGGAAAGGAGCUUUUUGGUCGUGCUUGUCCUGGUCAAAGUACUAGAUGCUAGUUAUGGUAGUUCUGGACUUCAUUUGAAGUCAUGGGAGUUGAGACUCGGAUGAAUCGAAUACCUGGGGUUUUAUAUUAAUGCUCGUGAAAAGAAUUAAUGUGGCUGAUUGGAGAGAUCGUGAUAUUGUAGCUGUUGAUGCUGUUUUGUACUUGAUGGAUGAUGUUCGUUUUGAUGCUCGUUGCAAACAACAGUAUUCUGAUGGUUUUCACCUAAAAUGUUAAACUAAUAUGCUUUGAUGAUCUCAUGAUUGUUUUGGACCCCGGAAGGAGUAGUCGUUGCCGUGAUGGCCUGAAAGAUGGUUGGAAGGGGAUCAUAAUUUACCUGUAGCUGAUGCUGCAAGUGGCUGGACCUCAUUCAAUCAUUGAUGCUGAGUUAAGAUGAGGCCUUUUUGCUGAGCUGACCCUUCCAUUAUAACCUAGUCGAGACAGGGUAACAGAUGCUUAGUUGCUUAUUUUGUUUAGGGUCUUGGUUGGACCUAAAGUCAUUUAAUGUCUAGCUGUUAGGGUAUUGACUUCUGUUGCAUCCUGUACUGAGAUGUGAUAGCACAUGGAGAUUUGGCUGUAGCUGUGAAGCUGUAGCGGAUAAUAUUGGCAUCAUGUACUGCAAUGUAGCACAUGAAGUUGUGGCUGUACCUGUGAAGUGGUAGCAGAUGUCCAUAUAAUGCCGCUGUUGAUUGCCUUCCUAAUUGCUGGGGUCGGGUUGAAUCUGGUACUACUGAUUUUGGUGCUGAACGACGAUGACUGAUUUGGUAUGUCUGGUUGCAAUCUGCUCCAGUAAAUCUGCUGGUAUGCCUGCAUUUAUCUCAUGCAGAUUGGUUAGAGCUUUUGUUCAUCUGACCUCACUUUAUGUUUGGCAACCUUUGAAGCUAAGUUGAAAGUUAUGCUGUAGGUUUCAUUUAAACCGAUGUACAACCCUUAAUCAGCUGCUUAUAUUGCUUGUGUGAAACAAUUACAUAACCUAUCGUACUGGAUGUGAUACGAAUUACAAUCAAAUCAUUAAGCCACACUUCCUGAUGGUCCAUUGUAGUUGGGUUGCCAUAAUUUAUUUUGAAUUAAUGACAAAUGGUUAUUUCAUAUGCAUUAAA